GAAUACCUACGGGAGGCAGCAGUGGGGGAUAUUGCGCAAUGGGGGAAACCCUGAUGCAGCGACGCCGCGUGAGUGAAGAAGUAAUUCGUUACGUAAAGCUCUAUCAGCAGGGAAGAAAAUGACGGUACCUGACUAAGAAGCCCCGGCUAACAAAGUGCCAGCAGCCGCGGUAAUACGUAGGGGGCAAGCGUUAUCCGGAAUUACUGGUGGUAAAGGGAGCGCAGACGGAAGUG
rnacentral:rRNA from 1 species